rnacentral:lncRNA from 1 species
UUCUUCGCCUGACGCCGCUUCUCCUCCAGCUUGUCCCCCAUCUUCUUCCCCAGGUCCAUCAUCCGGCUCCGCCUCCCGCUCUUCCGCUUUGCGUCAUCUCCAACACAGGCCGCUGCUGCCGCCACCGCCUGCUGCUGCUGCUGCUCCCCCGCGGGUAUGAUGGCCCUCAGGGAGGUGUACAGCGGGUAGCCCGCACUGCUCUCCGAAGUGGCGCCCUCCUGGAGCCUCUCCGUGGCCAGCAGC